rnacentral:lncRNA from 1 species
ACUGAUGACAAAAUAGAGGUCAAGUUCAAUAAUGAUGAUUUUGACUUUUACUGUUCAGGAGUUAUGGUUCUUGAAAGAUCGUAAAAUGGCGUUUCCAUUCAUGUUGUUGCAUUCACUCAUGAACCAUUCAGUCUAAGCUUUUCAAAUUUUAAUAUGUUGAUACUGAUGACAAAAUGGAGGUCAAAUUUGAUAUUGACGAUUUUCACUUUCACCAUUCAUCAGUAAUGGUUCUUGUGAUAUUGCCAGGACACAAAUAAAUGUUAAUAAAUCCGGUUUGCUGUCGUUGUGACAGCCUCUUGUAUAAAAGUAAGGCCGGAAUUAUUAAUUUGAAAAUAAGUUAUAUUACAUUUAGGAACACCUCUGACAUUGAUUUGUAUGUAUAAACUUGAUGUAACUAUUUACAUUCCAAUAUCCUCUAUUUAUAUUUUGCAUUAUACUUUAAUAUUUUAUUUUGAAAUAUCAUUAUAUAUUUUGCUUAUUGAUUCUUGGUACAUAUCAGAGUAAACUGUCAUUAAAGAUUUGAGAUUUUCCGAUUCAUUCAUUGGCAAAAAUUACAUCAGCCAUAAUUAUGGAGUGUUGCCUUCAAAACACUGUAGCGCAUAUGAUUCAACGUUGAAUAAAUUAAAACAGCAAAUCACCUUAAAAUCUUUUCUAACUGCCUUCUGUGACCAUUUUAUAAGAAAUAAAUAUAUUUUUUAUACUUACAUGUAUAAAAAAUAUUUGUUCUUUAACCUAAGAGAAUGCUGUCUUUCUAACCUAUCAUCACAGCUGUUAAAAUGAAUUGCACUGCUUGUAUAAUAUAGUGUAUGAAUGAUGUUUGUUUGACUUGUGGUUGAUUUUUAUACUGAAUGAUAGAGGUUUGAUAUUGGUACUAGGUCUUUGCUUAAAAAUUCAAACACAAACUGACUGAUGUAUUUGUACAUUCAUAUAAUAGAUUAUGUUUUUGUGUGAAUUCCCCAAAUCAGAAUCUAAUGCACUCUGGGUAAUAUUUUCAAAAGCGUACAUCAAAACGUUGUGAUUGGUUUAAAACGUUCUAAACAAUGGAAAUUCGACCAAUGACGUAACGUAAUUUUCAUUUUGUCGUACAAACAAUGAGAUUACCCAUAGUCCUUUAGAUUCUGAAAAGGCAAAUUAUAAUAAAACAUUUGUAAAGAUUACAUUUGCUUAUAGCUUAUAUGUAUAUUUUUCUAGUGCUAUGAGUGUUUCAUUUUUGUGUGCAUUUCUUUAUUUAAGUCACCUGAUGUGAGUUGAAAGUUUAGAAAUCCAGAAAAAAGUCAUUCAGGCUGUGUUCAACUCUGCUCAUAUCAUAGUUAAGAUUUUAUUAACAUUAGAUCUGCUGUGUUUAUGUUUAGACGUUUGUUUGUAAUUAUAAUUAAAGGAUAUAUUGUAGAUGUUAUGAUAUAGCAAGACAAGAAACCAUUCAAGUGUUUUUCACUUUGUACUGAUUAAAAAACAAUUUAAAUGUGGUAGUUUAACUUCAGGAAUUCUGGAUUUUCAGAAUAUGUUAUGUUUUGCAUCUAGAGGUAAUUCUUGAAUCACUUAUAAAUUUGGUAUUUCUCAUAUUUUUUCAGACUGCAUCUCACCCUGUAAGAUGUCAUACACAAAGAUUGGUAUUAAUAUUAAUGUUUUACAGAUUCAUAUAAAAACAAUCAAUUAUAAACAAGAUAGGUCACUGUAUUUAUUUUGGAGAAAAACAUUUUUUGGGGAUUCAAAAAUUUUAUAUUGGGAAAAAUAAUUUUUUUCAUUAAUUUAGCAAAAGAUUAUCUAUAGAAAUUUAUUACUUCUUAAUGUAUUUUUCAUAUGGUUUAUCAAUCUAUUUCAGGAAAUAAAUAGAAAAUUUAAUACCCUUUCAUUUUGUUUUGGUAUUUGAAAAUAGUUUGUUAUUAGGUUUCCAGUUUUAUUAUCUGCCCUUGAAAUUAAAAAAAAAAGUGUAGUUAUUUCCCUUUCAUAAAUCACAGAUUUUUAAAAAAACUGGUUUGAAAGUAAAUAAUUGCUGUUGUUUCUUUAAAUGAAAAAAAAUGUCAAGGAUAAUAUGAAAUGUUGGAAGCAGGAUCACUUCCAUUAAAAUGAUAAUAAAUUCACUGAUAUAUUAGCAAACGUGUCCAUCUUAAUCUUGUGUGCAAAUUGAUCUAAGUGAGCAUCUACAUUUGAGUGAUUGGUAGAAUUUUUAAAUGCUAGUAAUAUAUGUGAUACUUAUGGUUUAUUUUGUUGUGAAGAACCAAAUUUAUUAUUUUUAUAUCAGAAAUUAUAAAUUUCAAUAAAUGUUUGCUCAUGCUAUUUUCACUUUUAAAACAGAUACAGUAUACAAUUCAUUAAUUAACUUAAUGAUACAUGUAAAAAUGUACAUAAACAUCAUAUAAAUUAUAGAAUAGACUUGUUGAAAUGGUGUUAGGGUUAACUGACUCAGCUGGACACUUCCAUUUUGGAUAUUUUGUUCAAGUUUAGAUUGAUGUUAAUUUGACGAUACUGAAAUUUUUAGUAAAAAUUUAUCAGCCUUUGUGCAGGCUUUUGUUAUUCAUAUGCAUCUAUAAAGUUUAAGUUAUGCUUCAAUCUCUUUCUUAUAUCAAUAUCUGGUCUGGGUAAAGGUUAGUUAACCCAACAUGCAUAAAUGUUUUAAAUAUUUAAAGUUUUGUAAUCAUUUAUUUUGGUGUGAAUAGACAGAUUUACAUUUAUUAUUACACAAUUGUUGAUUUUGUUUAAUUAAAAUUCAUUUUUUAUGAAACUAUUUAUUAGCCUGUAAGACCGACCAUAAUGUUUCCACCAACAGUGCUAUUAUCAAAUUCUUAAACUUCCGUCCUGAAGUGUCUGUGAUAUUACACUUUGUUCAAGGCUAACAAAUAUUGCUAUAGAUAUACAGCUAAAGAUGUCAGCCAUCUUCUUUAGUUGUGAACAAUGCUAUGUGAAAGAUUAUGAUAUUUUUGAAUUCAUUGGGACCAAAAAGAGCACAUCAUUAAUUCUCUUUUAUCAUCAAAACACAUGUCAAUUGAAUUCCAUUGCACACAUUGAUGUGCACUAGUAUGAUCUUUUUCUUUAAUUAAUGUUAUCGAACAAACAUAUCCUUCACUCUUUCAACUAAACCGCAAACGUCUGUUUUAGUUUUAAGCACAUGGCCUGUUGAGACAAAUGCAACCAAAGUAUUUCUUGUAAUUUUUCAAAUUGUAUCUGAUGACCACUUUAAUAAAUCUCAUACUAUUAAUUUUGAAAUGUUUUUUAAAUCAAAAAUCUAUGGUGGUUAGUACUUAUAUUCAUGACUAAAAAGUUAAUGAGAUACUUAACUAGGAAAUGCAGAUUCAUUAGAGCUCCAUCAAAAUUUGCUGCAUAAUUUAAUUGGACAUACAUAUAGUUUUAGGAAUGACCAAACUUAAUUUUGUUUUGAUAUAAUAUUAUUUGUAGCCGAUUUUGUAAAGAUUUCUUGUAAUAUUUAACUAUGGUUGUACAAAUUAUAAGUAUAAAUUAUUGGAUUUUAUCAAAAUGAAUCUCUAGAAACUUAUUAUCUUACUGAAUGGCAUAUUAAUUUGUCUAACAAUAUCGUGUUUACAUAUGACAAAUUAGUUUGUCUAACAAUGUCGUGUGUUUAUAUUUUAUGUUUUUUGAAUGUAUUGUUUUCUAAUUGUUUUGACUAAGUGGUAUUUAUGUUUACAUUUUCUAUGCACUCAUAUAAUUGUUGAUGGUUGUGAUAAAGAAAAAUGAAAGUAAAAGAAAAUUGAUGUUUCCGUCCACAAUAAUUUCUGAUCUUCUCCAUGAAAAAUAAAAUACUAUGAAAACACUGUUGUUUCUUUUGUUCUUGACCACAUUGAUUAAGAUGAGCAUGAUACUUGGUA